KAUUUAUUARAUAAAAAACCAACGCCCYYYSGGGSKCCUUGGUGAAUCAUAAUAACUUAACGAAUCGCAUGGSCUUGCGCCGGCGAUGGUUCAUUCAAAUUUCUGCCCUAUCAACUUUCGAUGGUAGGAUAGUGGCCUACCAUGGUGGCAACGGGUAACGGGGAAUUAGGGUUCGAUUCCGGAGAGGGAGCCUGAGAAACGGCUACCACAUCCAAGGAAGGCAGCAGGCGCGCAAAUUACCCAAUCCCGAUACKGGGAGGUAGUGACAAUAAAUACUGAUACGGGGCUCUUUUGGGUCUCGUAAUUGGAAUGAGAACAAUUUAAAUCCCUUAACGAGGAACAAUUGGAGGGCAAGUCUGGUGCCGGCAGCCGCGGUAAUUCCAGCUCCAAUAGCGUAUAUUAAAGUUGUUGCAGUUAAAAAGCUCGUAGUUGAACCUUGGGUCUGGCUGGCCGGUCCGCCUCACCGCGAGUACUGGUCCGGCUGGACCUUUCCUUCUGGGGAACCUCAUGGCCUUCGCUGGCUGUGGGGGGAACCAGGACUUUUACUGUGUAAAAAUUASAGUGUUCAAAGCAGGC
rnacentral:rRNA from 1 species